AUGUCUAUGCAAUUUCAAGAUGAUACAGAUGGUAUACCUCCUUCUGAGGCUGAAGGUAGGAAUGAAAGGCCCCAAAGGAUAAAGCACCCUUCAGCCAAAAUGCUAGCCCAUCUAAUAGACGAAAAGGAGCUCCUCCAUGUGAGGUUAGGUUCAGCAUGGGAGCGCAUCACAACAUUAAUGGACAGAAUUGAGAGCUUGGGUAUUACAAGGGUGCCAUCCAUAUUACAGACAGACCUUGAAGAGACCUUCGGUAUUUGGAGGGGUUUGGUGUCUAAGAUAGUCCAGGUCCUCGAGCGCAUUAACGCCAAGGAUUCAGAGUUAGAAAUAGUGAGUGUCUUAGCUGACACUAAUGAGAAAGAAAAUAAGGUGAGGGCAAUUCUAGAUGCCUUGGAAUUUAGUUCUCCAUCUGUUAAUCUAAGGUCUGAGCCAAAAGGAAAUCAGUCUUCCUUAAGCAGCCAUGAGACCAAUCUUUUAAAAUCACCUGCUGUGGCACUUAGUCUUAAGUCCAACCGCUCUAGCCAGGUAUCUAAACUAAGGGAGUGUGCAUCAUCUAAACAUAGCCACUCUAGCAAGUCUUCUGCUGCUGGGAGUGCCAUCUCUUCCCUAGCUGCCUUGCACAUUAAGGAGGCUGCACGUCUAGAGCUAAAGAGCAAGGUAGCGGGGGCGGAGGCUGAUGCUAAGGCAGCUGAUCUCACCCUUCCCUUUAAAGAAGAAGAGCAACGACUGCAAAUAGAACAGGCCCGUAGACAAAGCGAAAUGCAAAUGGAACAGGCCCAAAGGCAAGGUGAAAUAGAAAUGCUUAGAAUAAGGAUGGAUGCUACUGCCAAAAAGGUAAGGGCUGAGACUUUGGCCAAGGCCCUAAUUGAGCCACUCACAGAAGAAAAUGUAAGUCAGUUGCCGAAGCAGGACCCUUCUUCCAAGGUGCUUGUGCAUCUUAAUAGCUUAAACAGCCAGUUUUCGGAUGAGGAACAGGAAGACUUCUCUCCUUACCCAGAGCAGGGCCCCAAAGUCACUUUUGAGUUUCCUGCAGAGCAGAGCGUCAUAGCGGGGAGCUCACCCUUGCCCGAGCUACCUGUGCCUCCUGCUAAAUCCCUAGGUCAGUCAAUCAGGGCCUCAAGGCCAAGUGCUAGUUGGCCCUUACAGACAGCUGCACAGGGAGCCACCGAUUCGUCAGUGGUCGAUGUCAUCCCUCCAAGAGGCCAAAGGUUGACGCAAGGUGCACGGUGGGAGUCCACUCCACAACAGCAAACUCCUCAAUUGUUCCCUUCGACGCCAGAGUCCCAGCUUGUCUCCAUCAUCAGAAGCCCCAGAAGAGAUCUUAAGGACAAGGGUGUCGAAAAGUUUUCGGACAAGCCUGAGGAAUUUCUUCUCUGGAAGGCCACCUUCCAGAGAGCAAUCAGAGACUUAAAGUUAUUGCCGGAGGAAGAACUGACUCUUCUGGCUGCAUGGUUGGGCCCAGCCUCAUCCUCACAAGUUAAGAAGAUCUACGCAGCCCACGUAGCCGAUCCCGACAAAGCCCUGGAAAAGGCCUGGGCCAGGUUGCAGCAGAGGUAUGGGGCCAGCACAGAGAUUGAAGCAUCUCUUAUGGACAAGCUCCAAAGGUUCCCAGCUUUAAAACUCAAAGACUUCAAACUCUUGUGGGACCUCAGCGAUCUCCUUACGGAAUUAGAGUCGGCCAAGGAGAAUCCAGAACUGCCCGGUUUGAAGUGCCUCGAUCAGCACCUGUCCCAGAGGCAGAUCUUGACCAAGCUGCCCUUCACUUUGCAAGAACGCUGGGGACAGGAGGUCUUCAACUACAAGGAGGCCCACUCCCAGGCAUACCCUCCAUUUUCUCAUUUGGUCCAGUUCAUCACCAGGGCGGCCAGAGAAAGGAAUGAUCCGCAGACGGGCCUCCCCACCUUAUACCAAGGGACCCAGCCAGAGAAGGCACCUAAAGUGGACAAGAAACCAUCUAGAGAGGCCAAUAGACCUGUCAGCGUAAAGGCAGUCGAAACUCAACUCAAGACUGACGAACCCAGGUCGGAGGUAAAAGAGUUGCUUUGCCCUAUUCACCAAAAGCCUCACAGCUUGGCCAACUGCAGGGAGUUUAGUAGAAAGACAUACAAAGAAAGGCAACAGCUAGUUCAAAAGCAGGGAAUCUGCUUUAGAUGCUGUGGAGCAACUCCACACUUUGCAUCCAACUGCAAAGAAAACAUCAAGUGUGAGAAAUGCAACAGCCUCAAGCAUUGCACCGCAAUGCACAACUCCAAUAUCAUCUCCCACCCCAAAGAGAACGCUUCACCAAAAGAAAAGUCAGCAGUCGAAGACACCGACAAGCCAGCCGCACCAGAGAUGCAGGUGGAAGUUUCAGCAGUCGCCUGUACAGAGCUGUGUUCUGACUCGCACCAGUACAGAGUUUGUCAUCCUAUCUGCCUAGCGGAUGUAUAUCCAGCCAAGAGCCCUUGGCUUAGAAAGAGACUCUAUGUGGCCCUGGAUUCACAGAGCGACGCCUCCCUGGCUACUCCAGAGUUCUUCCGCAUGUUUGACCUUAAAACCAAGAUGGUCGACUACACUAUGACUACGUGUGCAGGAAAAAAGAAGUUGCAGGGUCGCAUAGCAUCUGGCUUCGUUGUCUCCUCUUGCGACCAGAAGAGACAGUUCAAGUUGCCAGACCUGAUUGAGUGUUCCUCUAUUCCCCGGAACAAAAGGCAGAUUGUCACUAGAGAAGUUGUGGAGGCUCAUCCACAUUUGCGACGGUUAAAGAAUGCUAUACCAGCCUUUCGGCCAGAUGUGGACAUUGCCCUUUUGCUUGGCUCGGACUGCCCGAGCUUGUUCUGUGUGAACGACCAAGUUAAAGGACCUCCAGGUGCACCUAUCGCACAACAAUUGCCAUUAGGCUGGACAGUCAUAGGCCCAGUGUGCAUAAACAAGAUGCACCCACCAUCGUCGUUGGACUCCAAUCAAGCACAGGUGCUUAAAGGUGGACGUCCUACACUUGUGCGCAGUUGCCUAAGUCAUAUCUCAGUCUACUGCCAAGCAAUAACUCCAGAGUAUUCCUCCAUCUUCAAAGUCUCUGAGAGAGACGAAGCCACAGCACUCUUGAAAGAUGAGCAAAGGUUCUUGGACAGUAUGAAUGCUCAAGUCUCACGAAGUACAGAGGGAAAUUGGGUAGCUCCUUUGCCCUUUAAGUCAGAUAAGCCCACUUCGCCAAACAAUAGACACAUGGCAGGGAAAAGACUCUGGUCCCUAAAGAAAAGAAUCCAUCAUCAGGGUAGAACUCUAACUGAGGCAGCCCUUAGAAACGAAGGUCUGUGGGUAGUUAAUGCCAAAAGGUUGGUCAACAGUUGUAUUUUCAAAUGUGUUAAAUGCAGGUGCCUUAGGCGAAACUGUCAAAAUCGGUUAAUAGCAGAACUACCUCAGGAUAGGACUUUGACAGACCCACCCUUUUCCCACGUGGGAAUUAAUGUGUUUGGUCCUUGGGAAAUUGUUACCAGAAAAACCAGGGGUGGUGUUGUAAAUAAUAAAAGAUGGGCGGUUUUGUUUACUUGUUUGUCAAAACGAACUGUCUAUAUUGAGGAUGUAGAGGGAAUGGACACUUCAUCAUUUUUAAAUGCAUUGAAAAGGUUCAUAGCCCUCAGAGGGCCAAUUAAGUCAAUUCGAUCGGACUGUGGCACCAAUUUUGCAUGUGCAGACCUUAGCCAACCACUUCUGGAAGAGGUGGAAGGCCGAAUACUUAAGCCAGCUUUCAACCAGAAGACUCUGGCAAACCCCAGAGGACAAUUUCAAGGUGGGAAACCUUGUGUUGCUAAAGGACAAAGACUUGCCCCGCUAUGCCUGGCCUAUGGGCAUUACACUAAAGACCUUUCCUUGCCCUGA
rnacentral:lncRNA from 1 species